rnacentral:lncRNA from 1 species
GAAAACUCUACAAUUGAUUAACAGAGAUCGAAAGUGAAAACCGAAACAAUAAGUCACACACCACUUACCGAACUGAACGAAGGAAUCGUGAAUUCAAAGUAGAGUGAUAUGAUUAAAGAAUUAUGGUAGAAUCAAAGAGAAAAAGAAGAAGAAAUUGACAGAGCGCAUGAAUGGGAAGAAAGGAAAAAAAAGUUAGAAACCAGGGAUUUUUGGGAAAAUAAAAUAAAAUAAAAAUUAAAUUAAACUAAAAGAAAUUAUCCAAACUUCCCACUAAUACCUAAAUCCCCCAGAAUCCUACCCACUAACCACAUCCAAC